rnacentral:misc_RNA from 1 species
GAAAAAGUAUAGACACAGUGAUACAAUGGCCUGCAUCAACACAUUCCAGAGCUGCUCCGUCCUCAAGGGAGCAAAGAUCAAUGGUACCAAGAUCGGAGGAGGGAGGGGAUCACCAACCUUCCGGUGCCGGGCAUCGACGUUCAUGGACGGGAGCCUCCGGCUAGAGAUCGACGAGAACCCUGAAGCCAUCAUCUCCGGUGAGUGGCCGGAGAACUUCUCCCUGCUCAGCUACGACGAUCUCCGCGCCUACCUCCAGUCACAGGAGGCCGCUGCUCAAGCCGACAACCAGCGUGUGGCGCUCCUGAGUGAAGCCAUGUCGGCGCCUGUGCUGGUAGCCACUGCCGAGCAGACGCUGGAGGAGGUUGAGUGCCACUUUGAGACGGUCUCAGGUCUCCCAGUUAUAGAUGCCAGCCUCAGAUGUGUUGGAGUGAUCGUCAAGAGUGACCGGGCCAGGGCUUCUCAUGGGUCAAAGACGAAGAUUGCAGAAGUGAUGACCUCUCCAGCCAUCACUCUACCAUCUGACAAAACAGUAAUGGAUGCGGCAGCUCUGAUGCUAAAGAAGAAGAUCCACAGAUUACCAAUUGUAAAUCAGGACAGACAAGUGAUAGGUAUAGUUACCCGUGCUGACGUUCUUCGCGAGUUGGAAGCCCUGCUGGAGGUUUAGACGUGCAGUGGUCCAUAUGCUUCGGCCUUGUUGUAUAUAUGUAAAUAUAUGCCAUGGUGUUUUUGAAUAGCAGGCAUCUCUAAUCUGUAAGAGUGUUGUAGCGCGAAUCACCAAGAUAAGCCUGAGAAAAUAACCGGAGAGCUUUUCUUUGUACAAUAAGCACACUAUGAGACCUCCAGUGUUG